GGACAUGUAGCUCAAUGGUAGAGCAUCCGGCUGUUAACCGGAGGGUUGUGGGUUCGAAUCCCAUCAUGUCCG
rnacentral:tRNA from 1 species